AAACAUUUCACAGUCAUUAAUCUUCACGACGCUCCUGCGGGCUGGGUAAAUAGAGCAAUUCCUAUUUUAUGCCAGGAAGAAAUAUUGAAUUGCCUCCUCAUAAAGAGGCUGUUUUCCUCCUUGUUCCUGCGGCUCGCGGGGUGGGGGGCCUGGGGCGCCGGGAGCCCCUGCGAUCAGCUCAGACUGACUCCAGGACGACUUCCGGUGUCCUGCGCAACCUUUUGCCGCGGCGGGGGCCGGGUGGGGCCUAAGGGAGGGCCGGCCCACCACACCUGGCCGCGCUCUACCUGGAGGGGGCGGGGCCUCCCGCGUUUCCGGGACCUGCCUGCGGGCCUCCUGGGGUCCGGGGUUCCCGGCUCCCGAGCCCCAAGCCUGGGGUCCGCCAGGCUCCUCCCGGCGGGUGGACCUGGAGGCCCCGCCCCAGCUGUGCCCUCUUUACUCGCGGGACACCUGGCGGCCCCUCCGCGGUCGCCCUACCUGACACCCCCGGGCGCCCCCUCGCGCCUCGCCUUUUCACUUGUAAAUAGCGCUGCUUCCCGCCGCGGGGAAGUCGUUGAGAGGUGUGAGAAUGAGCCCUGCCCCCCGUGCCCACUUCCUCCUCCCCCUCCCCGCGGGCCUUUGUGCUGGGCGGGCCCGCUCGGAACCGGGGCGCUGGGGGUCCAGCCUGACGCCUCCUCUGGCCCGGUGGGUCGCCGACGCCACUCAGGUCCUCGGGGCCCCGACAAGGGAGGAGCCUCGAGACCACGCGGGACUCUAGGGUGGGCCUCCAGCCCGCGCCCGAGGCCUAGAGCAGGGGCAGGAACCUGGCCGCACUGGCCGGAGCCGCCUCCACCCCGCAGCGGUCGCGGACUCAGGGCGCUCCAGACCUGGGGUCGUGGUGAGGUUCGUGGAUUGACUGCGCGACGGUGGCUGAGUUUCAAACAAACGGGUCUCAUCACCUUAAAUGGUUUUGAACCAAUGAAGCUGUAUUCCCUUCAAAAGACGGACAGCCCAUCGUGUGGACUAUAGAGUUUGUGGACAGAUCUAUAUUGUUUGAUUGAUGUGCUUUCACAUUUGGAACUGACUCUGCACAGUGUCAGUGAGGAGUCUAGGCUCCCACCUGUGGUUUUCUCAGCUCUGCCCGUGGAAGACAAGGUAGGACUCACGGUGCUACAGGUGGCUCCAGUGUUGCUGUGCCAUUGAGCUGCCAUCUCGGCUCAUUGCACCUUUCUGCCAGGUUAAAUCUGUAUGGAGGAGGAACAGCCCUGAGUGAUGUGGGGUCCAAGUUACUGAGAAGGGCCCAGGAAAUGGGAAGUACUGCUCAGAGGGCUUCAAGGCUAAGAAAGAGUUGCUGGAGAACAGCAGCGAAUACAUGCCACGCGCUCUGCAGUGUGCAGCCAGUCACACUGACGACAAUGUGAAGAGGGCACUGUUCACUGCGGACGGUGCCUCCCAGCUACGUCUUCAUGGCACACCAGACAGGUCAUUGCCUACAGCUAAUUGUCUGCAGGGGAUCCUUGUUGCCCUGAGCUGUUUUGUUACAUUCUUCAUUAUGUUCACUAUAUUCUCAAUGAGACCUUCACGUAGCUGCUGUUUUCAGGAAGCUUUGCCUUGAGGGGCUGAUUAUCAUACUCAGAGAUGGGGAAAUGCGACUGGUAUCUAUAGAGUAGAGGCCGAGCUUUGUGAACGUCCCACCACGCACAGAAAAGCCCCCUGCCACAAAUAAUUGUUAAGCCUAAAAUGCCAGCAGUGCUGAGGUGGAGGUAGAGCUACACGUGUACCAAGAACAUCCCCAGCAUUCUGUGGUGUCGGGUGGGUUUGAAGAUGGGGGUUCAGGGUUUCCACUUCUGGAGAAAGAACAGACUCCCCUGGGAAAGAUGACAUUGGACCCCGGCCGCAAGGAGCCUUCCCUCAUACGUGGCUGUGUGCAGACCCUUUCCGGAGGGCAGCAAGCAGAGACGCUGGCCAUUUUAUGUGUCCAGUCCUGGUGAACUUCGCUAUGUUCUAAGAGAAAUUUACUUGUAUCUUUCUUUUUGGUGAAAUGUAGCUGCU
rnacentral:lncRNA from 13 species